UACGGAGGGGGCUAGCGUUGUUCGGAAUCAUUGGGCGUAAAGGGCGCGUAGGCGGCCGGCCAAGUCGGAUGUGAAAUCCCUCGGCUCAACCGAGGAACUGCACUCGAUACUGGUUGGCUAGAGUCCGGGAGGGGAUGGUGGAAUUCCCAGUGUAGCGGUGAAAUGCGUAGAUAUUGGGAAGAACACCGGUGGCGAAGGCGGCCAUCGUGGACCGGAACUGGACCGGCGUGAGGCGCGGAAAAGCCCAGGGGAGGCCAAAC
rnacentral:rRNA from 1 species